rnacentral:rRNA from 1 species
AAGCUAAUACCGGAUAAUAUAUUGAACCGCAUGGUUCAAUAGUGAAAGACGGUUUGUCUGUCACUUAUAGAUGGAUCCGCGCCGCAUUAGCUAGUUGGUAAGGUAACGGCUUACCAAGGCAACGAUGCGUAGCCGACCUGAGAGGGUGAUCGGCCACACUGGAACUGAGACACGGUCCAGACUCCUACGGGAGGCAGCAGCC